rnacentral:piRNA from 1 species
UGCUGGAAGGACCACUCUUGAUGUGU